rnacentral:rRNA from 1 species
UGCGCCAAGGAAAACCGAACGAAGCGUCCGCCCCCGGAAUCCCGUUCGCGGAGCGUGCCGCGGGAUCGGGCGUCUAUCAAUUGUCAAAACGACUCUCGGCAACGGAUAUCUCGGCUCUCGCAUCGAUAAAGAACGUAGCGAAAUGCUAUACUUGGUGUGAAUUGCAGAAUCCCGUGAACCAUCGAGUCUUUGAACGCAAGUUGCGCCCGAAGCCAUUAGGCCGAGGGCACGUCUGCCUGGGCGUCACGC